UACGGAGGGAGCUAGCGUUGUUCGGAAUUACUGGGCGUAAAGCGCACGUAGGCGGCUUUGUAAGUUAGAGGUGAAAGCCCGGAGCUCAACUCCGGAACUGCCUUUAAGACUGCAUCGCUUGAAUCCAGGAGAGGUGAGUGGAAUUCCGAGUGUAGAGGUGAAAUUCGUAGAUAUUCGCAAGAACACCAGUGGCGAAGGCGGCUUACUGGUCCGGUUCUGACGCUGAGGCGCGAAAGCGUGGGGAGCGAACAGG
rnacentral:rRNA from 1 species